rnacentral:misc_RNA from 1 species
GAAAUGCGAUAAGUAAUGUGAAUUGCAGAAUUCAGUGAAUCAUCGAAUCUUUGAACGCACAUUGCGCCCGCCAGUAUUCUGGCGGGCAUGCCUGUUCGAGCGUCAUUUCAACCAUCAAGCCCCCGGCUUGUGUUGGGGACCUGCGGCUGCCCGCAGGCCCUGAAAAACAGUGGCGGGCUCGCUGUCAGACCGAGCGUAGUAGCAUACAUUCUCGCUCAGGGCGUGCUGCGGGUUCCGGCCGUUAAACGACCUUCAUAACCCAAGGUUGACCUCGGAUCAGGUAGGAAGACCCGCUGAACUUAAGC